CCUACGGGAGGCAGCAGUGGGGAAUAUUGGGCAAUGGGCGCAAGCCUGACCCAGCAACGCCGCGUGAAGGAAGAAGGCUCUCGGGUUGUAAACUUCUUUUCUCAGGGACGAAGAAAGUGAAGGUACCUGAGGAAUAAGCUACGGCUAACUACGUGCCAGCAGCCGCGGUAAUACGUAGGUGGCAAGCGUUAUCCGGAUUUAUUGGGGGUAAAGGGCGUGUAGGCGGGAGCGUAAGUCAGAUGUGAAAACUCAGGGCUCAACCCUGAGCCUGCAUUUGAAACUGUGUUUCUUGAGUGCUGGAGAGGCAAGCGGAAUGCCGGGUGUAGCGGUGAAAUGCGUAGAUAUACGGAAGAACACCAGUGGCGAAGGCAGAAUGCUGG
rnacentral:rRNA from 1 species